CAGUCCAUGCAAUCGCUGAUUCCUUAGUGAAUUAGAGGAAAGUCCAUGCUCGCACAUUCUGCGAUGAAUGUAGUGAUUAAGCUAAUCUAAGAAAUAAGGUUAGGCACUUUGGAGAAAGUGACGGCGAAUUGGAGCCUAAAAGUUAUCUCAUGGUGAAGAUUUGUAAAGUGCCACAGUGACGAAUUUAUUCGAAAGAAUAAAAUGAAACGAUGGUAAACCCCUUAAGCGAGAAACUCAAAUUUUGGUAGAGGAAAUCGAAAAAGAGAAAUGAAUCCGAUUCGAUAGGCAGUAGUGCUUAGAUAAAUGAUUGCAUAAAACAUAACAUGGCUUACGGA
rnacentral:RNase_P_RNA from 1 species